rnacentral:tRNA from 1 species
AGACUAGUAGUUUAGGAAAAACGUCGAGUUGCAACCUCGUUGAUGGUUGCAGAGACCUUAGUCUU